rnacentral:rRNA from 1 species
CUGGCGGCGUGCCUAUACAUGCAAGUCGAACGCUUUGUGGUUCAACUGAUUUGAAGAGCUUGCUCAGAUAUGACGAUGGACAUUGCAAAGAGUGGCGAACGGGUGAGUAACACGUGGGAAACCUACCUCUUAGCAGGGGAUAACAUUUGGAAACAGAUGCUAAUACCGUAUAACAAUAGCAACCGCAUGGUUGCUACUUAAAAGAUGGUUCUGCUAUCACUAAGAGAUGGUCCCGCGGUGCAUUAGUUAGUUGGUGAGGUAAUGGCUCACCAAGACGAUGAUGCAUAGCCGAGUUGAGAGACUGAUCGGCCACAAUGGGACUGAGACACGGCCCAUACUCCUACGGGAGGCAGCAGUAGGGAAUCUUCCACAAUGGGCGAAAGCCUGAUGGAGCAACGCCGCGUGUGUGAUGAAGGGUUUCGGCUCGUAAAACACUGUUGUAAGAGAAGAAUGACAUUGAGAGUAACUGUUCAAUGUGUGACGGUAUCUUACCAGAAAGGAACGGCUAAAUACGUGCCAGCAGCCGCGGUAAUACGUAUGUUCCAAGCGUUAUCCGGAUUUAUUGGGCGUAAAGCGAGCGCAGACGGUUAUUUAAGUCUGAAGUGAAAGCCCUCAGCUCAACUGAGGAAUUGCUUUGGAAACUGGAUGACUUGAGUGCAGUAGAGGAAAGUGGAACUCCAUGUGUAGCGGUGAAAUGCGUAGAUAUAUGGA